GGAUGUGAGGGCGAUCUGUCACCCCAUUGUUCGCCAGGGUUGAUUCGGCUGAUCUGGCUGGCUAGGCGGGUGUCCCCUUCCUCCCUCACCGUUCCAUGUGCAUCCCUCCCGAGGUUGCGUGCUUGGUGAAAGAGGAUGGCGUCCCAGGUAUAGAAGGAGUGUACCGAGGUCUCCAGUCUUUGGUCCCGAGUAUACGAAGUUGGAGCUGAAUCGGGUGAAGGUACUGCAAAUCCCAUCAUUUGUGGUCCAUCCUCCUCCUAUCAGCACCAGAACGUGAAGUGGGUAAUA
rnacentral:snRNA from 11 species